rnacentral:rRNA from 1 species
UCCUGGCGACCAUAGCGGUUUGGAACCACCUGAAUCCAUCUCGAACUCAGAAGUGAAACAGACCUGGCCAAUGAUGUGUGGGGCUUCCCC